GCGGUAAAACCAGCACCUCAAGUGGUCAGGAUGAUUAUUGGGCCUAAAGCAUCCGUAGCCGGCUCUGUAAGUUUUCGGUUAAAUCUGUAUGCUCAACAUACAGGCUGCCGGGAAUACUGCAGAGCUAGGGAGUGGGAGAGGUAGACGGUACUCGGUAGGAAGGGGUAAAAUCCUUUGAUCUAUCGAUGACCACCUGUGGCGAAGGCGGUCUACCAGAACACGUCCGACGGUGAGGGAUGAAAGCUGGGGGAGCAAACCGGAUUAGAUACCCGGGUAGUCCCAGCUGUAAACUAUGCAAACUCAGUGAUGCAUUGGCUUGUGGCCAAUGCAGUGCUGCAGGGAAGCCGUUAAGUUUGCCGCCUGGGAAGUACGUACGCAAGUAUGAAACUUAAAGGAAUUGGCG
rnacentral:rRNA from 1 species